UACAGAGGGGGCAAGCGUUAUUCGGAAUUAUUGGGCGUAAAGGGCGCGUAGGCGGCUUGGCAAGUGGAUGGUGAAAUCCCUCGGCUUAACCGAGGAACUGCCGUCCAAACUGCUUUGCUUGAGACCGGGAGAGGUGAGUGGAAUUCCCAGUGUAGCGGUGAAAUGCGUAGAUAUUGGGAGGAACACCAGUGGCGAAGGCGGCUUCCUGGACCAGUUACCGACGUUCAGGCACGAAAGCGUGGGGAGCAAACAGGA
rnacentral:rRNA from 1 species